rfam:Pan troglodytes isolate Yerkes chimp pedigree #C0471 (Clint) chromosome 17, whole genome shotgun sequence.
GCCAGGUGUGGUGGUGCACACCUGUAAUCCCAGCUACUAGAGAGGCUGAGGUAGGAGAAUCGCUUGAACCCAGGAGGUGGAGGUUGCAGUGAACCGAGAUCAUGGCACUGCACUUCAGCCUGGGUGACACAGCGAGACUCCAUCUCAA